rnacentral:tRNA from 1 species
UCUUAAGUAACUAAUUGCAAGUGUUGAACUUUUGAUUCAAUAAUGGUUGUUUUAACCCUAGGGC